rnacentral:rRNA from 1 species
GAUGAACGCUGGCGGCGUGCCUAAUACAUGCAAGUCGAGCGAACGGACGAGAAGCUUGCUUCUCUGAUGUUAGCGGCGGACGGGUGAGUAACACGUGGAUAACCUACCUAUAAGACUGGGAUAACUUCGGGAAACCGGAGCUAAUACCGGAUAAUAUUUUGAACCGCAUGGUUCAAAAGUGAAAGACGGUCUUGCUGUCACUUAUAGAUGGAUCCGCGCUGCAUUAGCUAGUUGGUAAGGUAACGGCUUACCAAGCCAACGAUGCAUAGCCGACCUGAGAGGGUGAUCGGCCACACUGGAACUGGGACACGGUCCAGACUCCUACGGGAGGCAGCAGUAGGGAAUCUUCCGCAAUGGGCGAAAGCCUGACGGAGCAACGCCGCGUGAGUGAUGAAGGUCUUCGGAUCGUAAAACUCUGUUAUUAGGGAAGAACAUAUGUGUAAGUAACUGUGCACAUCUUGACGGUACCUAAUCAGAAAGCCACGGCUAACUACGUG